rnacentral:rRNA from 1 species
UACGGGGGGGGCAAGCGUUGUUCGGAAUUACUGGGCGUAAAGGGCGCGUAGGCGGCCAUCUAAGUCAGACGUGAAAUCCCUCGGCUCAACCGAGGAACUGCGUCUGAUACUGGAAGGCUUGAAUCCGGGAGAGGGAUGUGGAAUUCCAGGUGUAGCGGUGAAAUGCGUAGAUAUCUGGAGGAACACCGGUGGCGAAGGCGGCAUCCUGGACCGGUAUUGACGCUGAGGCGCGAAAGCGUGGGGAGCAACAG